GGCGAUUUAGCUCAGUUGGUUAGAGCGUGUGCUUAACACUAGCAGUCCUCUCCGAGGACCGUAGCGUUGCGCACAAGGUCGGCGGUUCGACCCCGUCAAACGUCA